AGAGUUUGAUCCUGGCUCAGGAUGAACGCUAGCGGCAGGCCUAACACAUGCAAGUCGAGGGGUAACAUAGAGUGCUUGCACUCUGAUGACGACCGGCGCACGGGUGAGUAACGCGUAUACAAUCUGCCUCAUACUAGGGGAUAGCCCAGAGAAAUUUGGAUUAAUACCCUAUAGUAUCUUUUAGAGUCAUCUCUUUAAGAUUAAAGGUUACGGUAUGAGAUGAGUAUGCGUUCUAUUAGUUAGUAGGUGAGGUAACGGCUCACCUAGACCACGAUAGAUAGGGGCCCUGAGAGGGGGAUCCCCCACACUGGUACUGAGACACGGACCAGACUCCUACGGGAGGCAGCAGUGAGGAAUAUUAGACAAUGGGCGAAAGCCUGAUCUAGCCAUGCCGCGUGCAGGAUGACGGCCCUAUGGGUUGUAAACUGCUUUUAUACAGGAAGAAAAAACUCUACGUGUAGAGUCUUGACGGUACUGUAAGAAUAAGGAUCGGCUAACUCCGUGCCAGCAGCCGCGGUAAUACGGAGGAUCCAAGCGUUAUCCGGAAUUAUUGGGUUUAAAGGGUCCGUAGGUGGACAAUUAAGUCAGAGGUGAAAUCCUGCAGCUCAACUGUAGAAUUGCCUUUGAAACUGGUUGUCUUGAGUCAUUAUGAAGUGGUUAGAAUGUGUAGUGUAGCGGUGAAAUGCAUAGAUAUUACACAGAAUACCAAUUGCGAAGGCAGAUCACUAAUAAUGUACUGACACUGAUGGACGAAAGCGUGGGUAGCGAACAGGAUUAGAUACCCUGGUAGUCCACGCCGUAAACGAUGGUCACUAGCUGUUCGGACUUCGGUCUGAGUGGCUAAGCGAAAGUGAUAAGUGACCCACCUGGGGAGUACGUUCGCAAGAAUGAAACUCAAAGGAAUUGACGGGGGCCCGCACAAGCGGUGGAGCAUGUGGUUUAAUUCGAUGAUACGCGAGGAACCUUACCAGGGCUUAAAUGUAGAGUGACAGGUCUAGAGAUAGAUUUUUCUUCGGACACUUUACAAGGUGCUGCAUGGUUGUCGUCAGCUCGUGCCGUGAGGUGUCAGGUUAAGUCCUAUAACGAGCGCAACCCCUGUUGUUAGUUGCCAGCGAGUAAUGUCGGGAACUCUAGCAAGACUGCCAGUGCAAACUGUGAGGAAUGUGGGGAUGACGUCAAAUCAUCACGGCCCUUACGUCCUGGGCUACACACGUGCUACAAUGGUAGGUACAGAGAGCAGCCAAUGCGUGAGCAUGAGCGAAUCUACAAAACCUAUCUCAGUUCGGAUCGGAGUCUGCAACUCGACUCCGUGAAGCUGGAAUCGCUAGUAAUCGGAUAUCAGCCAUGAUCCGGUGAAUACGUUCCCGGGCCUUGUACACACCGCCCGUCAAGCCAUGGAAGUUGGGAGUGCCUGAAAUCCGUCACCGCAAAGAGCGGCCUAGGGUAAAAUCGAUAACUAGGGCUAAGUCGUAACAAGGUA
rnacentral:rRNA from 1 species